rnacentral:rRNA from 1 species
UACGGAGGGCGCAAGCGUUGUUCGGAAUCACUGGGCGUAAAGCGCGUGUAGGCGGCUUGGCAAGUCGGAUGUGAAAUCCCGAGGCUCAACCUCGGAACUGCACUCGAAACUGCCUGGCUCGAGUCCCGGAGAGGGUGGCGGAAUUCCCGGUGUAGGGGUGACAUCCGUAGAUAUCGGGAGGAACACCAGUGGCGAAGGCGGCCACCUGGACGGUGACUGACGCUGGUACGCGAAAGCGUGGGGAGCAAACAGG